rnacentral:rRNA from 1 species
AGAGUUUGAUCCUGGCUCAGGAUGAACGCUGGCGGCAUGCCUAAGACAUGCAAGUCGAACGAGAUGGCCCAGUGAAAGUUGCGUGCUUGCACAAGACUGGAUCUGGAUCACCAUCUAGUGGCAGACGGGUGAGUAACACGUGGGUGACCUACCUUUUCGUUGGGGAUAACAGUUGGAAACGAUUGCUAAUACCGAAUAAAAUAUAAGAGUCAAUUUUAUAUUGAAAGGAGCCUUUAAAGCUUCGCGAUUAGAUGGGCCUGCGGCGUAUUAACUAGUUGGUGGGGUAAUGGCCUACAAGGUAACGAUGCGUAGCCGAACUGAGAGGUUGAUCGGCCACGACGUGGGACUGGAGACACGGCCCAGACUCCGUACGGGAGCA